CCUACGGGAGGCUGCAGUGAGGAAUAUUGGUCAAUGGACGAGAGUCUGAACCAGCCAAGUAGCGUGAAGGAUGAAGGUUCUAUGGAUUGUAAACUUCUUUUAUACGGGAAUAAACGGAUCCACGUGUGGAUUUUUGCAUGUACCGUAUGAAUAAGGAUCGGCUAACUCCGUGCCAGCAGCCGCGGUAAUACGGAGGAUCCGAGCGUUAUCCGGAUUUAUUGGGUUUAAAGGGAGCGUAGAUGGAUGUUUAAGUCAGUUGUGAAAGUUUGCGGCUCAACCGUAAAAUUGCAGUUGAUACUGGAUAUCUUGAGUGCAGUUGAGGCAGGCGGAAUUCGUGGUAUAGCGGUGAAAUGCUUAGAUAUCACGAAGAACUCCGAUUGCGAAGGCAGCCUGCUAAGCUGCAACUGACAUUGAGGCUCGAAAG
rnacentral:rRNA from 1 species